rnacentral:lncRNA from 1 species
UGCCUCCUCCUACCAGUCUCCUUAAGACACUGCCUGCAACAGCUGAUUAAUCAUUGUUGAUGACUGCAGUUUUUCCCAUCCUUCCCGAUUUACAUCUGUUCAGGCCAAUUCAAAUAUGAGGUCCCUAUGAAGAAUUAGGGAUGCUCCUUGGUCCAGAGUAGAUGCCAAGAAUGGAACUCCACAGUCAUUGCAGAAAAAACAUGAUUUGAAAUCAGUCACCAUUGCAGACAAUGCAUAUUCCCUUAAGCUACUGAGCAUGAAUGUCCAUGACUUGUCCACUCAUUGUUGGGUCUCCUGUAUUAAGAACUGUGGGGCUUGAUGCUGACAUUGGCAUUCCAGGGUGGGGCGGUCCUCCAUGCAUCAUCACUGUUGGGUGGUGAAGCUUAAAAGCUUGAUCACAACCAAAAAGAAAAUGAUGGAAGCAAGAAACCAGGAGUUUAAUGGAAAGGAAUGAACAAGCAUGAAGCUAUGGGCAAGGAGACGGACCUCCCGGUGAAUGGCUUGAGGAUGGUUUUCGCUUGCGUGACUUGAAUACAGUCACUAUGGGGGACUUGCCUGCUCGGUUGGACUGGUCUAUCAUGGGCUGCACUAUUCUUCUCCGGGCAUUAAUAAACCUGUAA